ACGAUCAUAAGUUAGUGGUAGACUACUCGUUUACCAAACGAGGUGGGCUGAUUCGAAUUCAGCUGGUCGUA
rfam:Talaromyces islandicus isolate WF-38-12 genome assembly, contig: WF-38-12_scaffold00002